rnacentral:rRNA from 1 species
UACGGGGGGAGCAAGCGUUGUUCGGAUUUACUGGGCGUAAAGGGCGCGUAGGCGGCCACCGCAAGUCAGUUGUGAAAUCUCUGGGCUUAACCCAGAACGGUCAGCUGAUACUGCGAGGCUAGAGUAUCGGAGAGGUUGGUGGAAUUCUCGGUGUAGAGGUGAAAUUCGUAGAUAUCGAGAGGAACACCGGUGGCGAAGGCGGCCAACUGGACGAAUACUGACGCUGAGACUCGAAAGCGUGGGGAGCAAACAGG